rnacentral:rRNA from 1 species
CCCCGUACACAAAAAUGCACAUGCUGUGAGCUCGAUGAGUAGGGCGGGACACGUGGUAUCCUGUCUGAAUAUGGGGGGACCAUCCUCCAAGGCUAAAUACUCCUGACUGACCGAUAGUGAACCAGUACCGUGAGGGAAAGGCGAAAAGAACCCCGGCGAGGGGAGUGAAAAAGAACCUGAAACCGUGUACGUACAAGCAGUGGGAGCACGCUUAGGCGUGUGACUGCGUACCUUUUGUAUAAUGGGUCAGCGACUUAUAUUCUGUAGCAAGGUUAACCGAAUAGGGGAGCCGAAGGGAAACCGAGUCUUAACUGGGCGUUAAGUUGCAGGGUAUAGACCCGAAACCCGGUGAUCUAGCCAUGGGCAGGUUGAAGGUUGGGUAACACUAACUGGAGGACCGAACCGACUAAUGUUGAAAAAUUAGCGGAUGACUUGUGGCUGGGGGUGAAAGGCCAAUCAAACCGGGAGAUAGCUGGUUCUCCCCGAAAGCUAUUUAGGUAGCGCCUCGUGAAUUCAUCUCCGGGGGUAGAGCACUGUUUCGGCAAGGGGGUCAUCCCGACUUACCAACCCGAUGCAAACUGCGAAUACCGGAGAAUGUUAUCACGGGAGACACACGGCGGGUGCUAACGUCCGUCGUGAAGAGGGAAACAACCCAGACCGCCAGCUAAGGUCCCAAAGUCAUGGUUAAGUGGGAAACGAUGUGGGAAGGCCCAGACAGCCAGGAUGUUGGCUUAGAAGCAGCCAUCAUUUAAAGAAAGCGUAAUAGCUCACUGGUCGAGUCGGCCUGCGCGGAAGAUGUAACGGGGCUAAACCAUGCACCGAAGCUGCGGCAGCGACGCUUAUGCGUUGUUGGGUAGGGGAGCGUUCUGUAAGCCUG